GAUGAACACUGGCGGCGUGCCUAAUACAUGCAAGUCGAACGCGCAGCGAGAGGUGCUUGCACCUUUCAAGCGAGUGGCGAACGGGUGAGUAACACGUGGAUAACCUGCCUCAAGGCUGGGGAUAACACUUGGAAACAGAUGCUAAUACCGAAUAAAACUUAGUAUCGCAUGAUAUAAAGUUAAAAGGCGCUACGGCGUCACCUAGAGAUGGAUCCGCGGUGCAUUAGUUAGUUGGUGGGGUAAAGGCUUACCAAGACAAUGAUGCAUAGCUGAGUUGAGAGACUGAUCGGCCACAUUGGGACUGAGACACGGCCCAAACUCCUACGGGAGGCUGCAGUAGGGAAUCUUCCACAAUGGGCGCAAGCCUGAUGGAGCAACGCCGCGUGUGUGAUGAAGGCUUUCGGGUCGUAAAGCACUGUUGUAUGGGAAGAAAUGCUAAAAUAGGGAAUGAUUUUAGUUUGACGGUACCAUACCAGAAAGGGACGGCUAAAUACGUGCCAGCAGCCGCCGUAAUAC
rnacentral:rRNA from 1 species